rnacentral:rRNA from 1 species
GCGCAGCAGUCGAGAAUUUUUCUCAAUGGGGGCAACCCUGAAGGAGCGACGCCGCGUGGACGGAUGAAGGCUUUCGGGUUGUAAACUCCUGUUAUUUGAGAACAAGGCUUACUAGUUAACUGCUAGUAAGUUGAUAGUAUCCGGAAGAGGAAGAGACGGCUAACUCUGUGCCAGCAGCCGCGGUAAUACAGAGGUCUCAAGCGUUGUUCGGAUUCAUUGGG